rnacentral:rRNA from 1 species
UAGCAUAAUCAUUUGUCUCUUAAUUAGAGGCUGGAAUGAACGAGUUGACGAUGCUUAAGCUAUCCCCUUGGGGGCUGGAAAUUGAUAACUGCCUCAAAAAGUGCAGCUCCCCAGAAAGACGACAAGACCCUAUAAAACUUUAUUUUACCCUCUCCCCAUAACCCGGGCCCAUCGUGGGGAGAGGGUUCAAAUUUAGCUGGGGCGGCAUUUAGAACACUCUAGGAGAUACAACACGGCCACGUGAGCUAAAAGAUCUCCAAAAGAGUUGAAACAAGUUACUUUAGGGAUAACAGCACAAUUUUUUCAGAUAGAUCUUAUAGAAGAAAAAGACUUGUGACCUCGAUGUUGAAUUGGGGGGCCUUGUUUAAGUAGAAAUAAGCUAAGGGGGUCUGUUCGACCUUUAAACCCCCA